rnacentral:rRNA from 1 species
UGGGGAAUAUUGGACAAUGGGGGGAACCCUGAUCCAGCCAUGCCGCGUGUGUGAAGAAGGCCUUAUGGUUGUAAAGCACUUUAAGCGAGGAGGAGGCUACUUUAGUUAAUACCUAGAGAUAGUGGACGUUACUCGCAGAAUAAGCACCGGCUAACUCUGUGCCAGCAGCCGCGGUAAUACAGAGGGUGCGAGCGUUAAUCGGAUUUACUGGGCGUAAAGCGCACGCAGGCGGUCUGUCAAGUCGGAUGUGAAAUCCCCGGGCUCAACCUGGGAACUGCAUUCGAAACUGGCAGGCUAGAGUCUUGUAGAGGGGGGUAGAAUUCCAGGUGUAGCGGUGAAAUGCGUAGAGAUCUGGAGGAAUACCGGUGGCGAAGGCGGCCCCCUGGACAAAGACUGACGCUCAGGUGCGAAAGCGUGGGGAGCAAACAGGAUUAGAUACCCUGGUAGUCCACGCCGUAAACGAUGUCGAUUUGGAGGUUGUGCCCUUGAGGCGUGGCUUCCGGAGCUAACGCGUUAAAUCGACCGCCUGGGGAGUACGGCCGCAAGGUUA